CCCGGCAUACUCGAAAUGACGUCAAAAUUCAACAAGGACGUCAUCAAGGCAUCCUGAAAGAGUAGCAGAAUUUCAACAUGGCGGUGGUGUCCCCUUUGCUUUGUUGAAAGCUUUUUCAUAGGCAGUUGAUUCGGUAAAUGUUUACCGAUCAAGGCCUCUCAGAACAGUCUGUCAAGCUUCACUUUGGAGAUGCAUUAGUCCACCGACUAGGAUCUUCAUUCUCUAUUUCUUGGACCUUAGCCUCUUGACAUUACGAAUGUCACUGAUGACAUCAGACUUACACCACCGCCGGAAAUAAGCUCACCACCUCUGCUCCCUCGACCAUUCCUCCCUUCAGGCAGUUUGCACCCUCUUCCCGCCGGAAUCUUUGCAGCCAAACUUUCCCUUCACUUCAGUAGCCGCCUUUUCAGACUCAGCCAACAUGAGCAAAAGUUUUAUGCUAAAGAGGCAUACCUCCCCUGAGUCAAUGAUCUCACCAAGGACUCCAGAAACCAGAACUAAAUCCUUGCCCAGAGACACUACUUCUCUCUACGGCAGCCACUACCACAGAUCUGAAUUUGGCUUGGAUGGCUCUCUUUCACGAUGUCCAGUUCAUGACAGUCCAAGGACUGUGACAACUUCGCCCAGACUGUCACGAGACCCAUCCUACCACCAACUGACCAGUAAAAUGUAUUUCAAACGUCUCAACACUAUUCAGAACUGGAAUACAAUCUACACUUCCAAAGUGCCAGGUUAUCAGAUGAUGGAGACAGACAUUGGUGGACCCAGCUGUUUAAAAACAACCAGCAAGCUGUCAGGCACAUGUAAGCACAAGGAUUUGAAGAGGAAAAUGGUGUUCGAUCUUCACAAGGAGGUCAAGAAAGGUGUCAACACGACUGUUCUGGAAGAAAUAUCUGAUAUGGAUAGAAUCACUGACAUCUGCAUGACAACGCUCAAGUCAAUGAUGGACUCCAAGAAACACCGGAAGUACCUACAUCACAUGAACAACAACGCUCUGCCUCGCGAGAUUAGCUUUGGGCAACGCUCUGGCUGGUAUCUGGACGACCUGACCAAUAAUGCCGAAUUGGCCAAAAGUAGCCUCCGUCGUAAAGAUUCUUUGCUUGGUGUGGGUUCCAAUGUUAAUACUGUUCUAACAUAUUUUAUUUACGCCUUCCCCCCUCCGUUGCUUACCCAAGUUCCUGUAUACUCCAGGCGUGCAGCCAAAAGGCCAACUGAAAAUGUCGGGACAGUUUCAGUAUUGGACAGUUCCAAGACGAGAGGUCCGCGUAUGAGUUAUAUCACAAUACCUGGCAUGGGACGAAUACUUCGAUCUGAUGUCAUGCUCCCAGAAUCCACUGCCACCACUUCUAGUACUGCUCUAAAACCUGCGGGGACCAGCAAACAAGCCAGGACGAAAACAGAUGAACGACCUGAUAGGAAACAAAUUUCAGUUGGUGCAGCUGACGCCGGAGCUGCUCCUGAUGACGCAUACCGCCGGAAAUCCAACACUGAUAAAGAUGACAUGAAAGCUUUAAAAUUAAUGGCAGAAAUACAAGCGCAGUAUUUUAAACAACAUGAUGAUGAGAGCGGCCAAUCUCAAAAACCUAAGCAAGAUGCUAAAAAAUUCAUUCCACUCUUGACACCAGAAGAAGCUCUGGCUUGCAAAUGGCUUCGGCUAACUCCGCAACAAGUUCAAGCUUUGGAAGAUUUGAUACGAGCUAAAGGCAUGGACCCUGGGAUACACGAGCACUCGAUAUUAAAGGAUUACGAUGUGUUUGCUGAGAUACGACAACUUAGACAAGCCGCCCAGAAACAGGCCAGCAAAGAAAUCAUCGAAGAGGCAGAAGAAGGUGAGAAGUAAGUCCCUAGGUCUCCAGCGCCUGCACAGUGGAUUCAAAGCAGCUCAUUGCCUCAGUUUAGUUGAACAUGUUUGUAAUGUUUAUGGCUGACUGACUGGAUCCAUCAUAAGUAGUAGGUUCAAAUCUCAUUUAAAAAAGGAAGUUUAUGUAUUUCGAUGAAGACGUUAACAAACUAGAAGCUUGGUUCUCAUGAAACUUUGGAAAACUGAUUAAGAAAUGCAGUCAAAUAAAUGUGUUUCUCAAACUAAGCAGACGAUGUAACCCAAGCAGAUGUCAAUGACUGAACACCUGUUGACGACGACUGGAUCCUGUCCUUUAAUUAAUUCCUCUUCAUUGGAGCUUCAUAUUGUGACGUAGCUAGAAACAAAGAAUUAUUUUUAAAAACAAACUGCCGAGCUAAAAACUAAACAAAAAAUAAAUCUCAGGGGUGAAUA